CAGGGAGAGAGGGCAGGCCCCUGUGAGCCCCAGGCCACUUCCAUUUUGACUUUGUGUGAAGCAGGAGCCAUUGGAGAGUUGGGGCAGGGGGUGGUGGGGACACCUCCCCAGAGGCUGGCCUUUCAGUAAAGGAAGCAGGUGACCAAAAGAGCACAGAAAGGAGCCCUUCUCUGGAGCACAGUGAAUUUUCUUCUUGAUUAUCGUAUUUGGUCUUUCCAACUUCUUAUUUUAGGGAAAACAAAAGAUCUGGCCAUACAUGGCUAUGGGGAACAAAGGGGCCACCAUCAUUUGUCUCUUUUGUAGCUCAAGACACACAAAAGAGCCUGAAAGAUUUGCCCACGGUCAUAAACUGGAAUAACGGGGGAGAGAGAGCCAGAGGUCAGGCCCCAUCCUUCAAGCCCUGCGGCACUCACCUGACAGGUGCCACCUCCAAAGGUGGGAGGGCCCUUCCGAGGAAAGCCAGGCACCGCCCCCCCCCAUCCCCCGCACCCUGCCCAGGAGGGCUUGCGGGGGCAGCAGCCUGAGACAGAGUCCUCUCCUCCCCUCAAGACAGCGAAUGAGAACCGCGAACCUCAGGAGGGUGAGAAAUAACUAACAAACCGCGGGGAAGUGCUUUUGGACGGCGGAAGGAUGCUAAGUAAUGGUAAUGCAGCCGGGAAGGCGCGGCGUACACGGUGAUGGAAAGAAACCUGUCACCAUGACUCAGGCUUUACAAGGCCAGCGGGGAGCCCUCGCGGCGACUGCUCGCUCGCCCGCCCGCCGCCAGGUGAUGGAGCGCAUCGCUCCCCGCCCCACCGGUGCGGUGGGGUCCAUCCGGACUCGGCCAGGACACCCCUCAGAACCAGAAUUGGCAACGUGUAAGUGAGGCUGGCAAGUGAUGGCAGGCAUCAGAUGACAGCCGAACGAGAAUGGCAAAACUGCAACGCCAGCCUCAUCCAGGCGGCCGGUGUCAGGUGACUUGCCCAUCCAUAAAGAAGCAAAUGGAAAAGAUCGCAAGAGCUGGGAUGCUGAGAUGGCAGAACAAUGCUUUGAGGAGUGCCAGCAAAUCAGUGUUCAAUCAUGAAUGUUUGUCUGAAGUCCGAUAGAACUGCAAGACCAACAUUUAAUUCACUUAAGGCAAGUCCACCCACCAUCCCAGACAGGCUUAAUAGCAAUAAGAUUGCCCUGGUCUAACGUGUAUGUCACAAAAGAAAAUGAUCAUUCUUAUGGGUUCCCCCAGUGAUUGGGGAAACUGGUGAGAUAUUUCUGGUGCUAUUUUGAAAAGCUGAAUCCAAUGGAAUGAAAACAAAGAUGCCUACCUGAAACUACCACUUGAGGGAAAAAAUAAAUAAAUAAAUAAAUAAAAGAUGUAAGUAAAA
rnacentral:lncRNA from 1 species